AGGACUGAGAAGGCUUUGCAGUCUGCCGCCUCAGCGGGUCCUGWCUGAAAACCGCAACCGGCUGCCUCUUGCCAAAGGUGCGGGCGAGGAACGGCCACCAGGCAGGGAAGGUUGAGCCCUGGGGUUGCUUCCUACCCUGGGCUGUUGGGCCGCUUUCUCUGUAAACAGCUUGCUCCCAAGGGCCCUGGAGUUGCAGUGGAAGCUGAGAGUUACUGCCCAUUCCUCCAGCCAGAGCGCUGAAGGCUUCUUUAACUUGACUGGAGUGAAAGGAAGGUUCCCUACUAAUCAUCUGUUUAAAAAAAAGAGUUUUCACAUCAUGCAAAGUUCUCCCAUGCACUGGUAUUUACUUUGCACACAGGACACCUAGAUCUUCAUGGAAAAUAAUUGUUAUUGUUCUCCUGUAYGUGCAGGGUGAGACUGUGGGUUAUUUCCUACAUCUUUUGUGACACGAACCUGUGUUUGUUAGAGUGAAAGCUGAUUAGAUGCUGCUUUGGUGCAUCAAGGGGGAUGCUCUGGAGCAAAGCAUGCCAUGUGUUUGAUUUGUAGAUAAACUGUCUCCUUGGAGUGGUUAUUGAGAGCAUGUUUCUGUGUGUCUGUCCUUGUUCUGGAGCGCUACAUUCUUUGUAUCUAUGUGGGUAUUUCAACUCCAAUCAGAAUAAUACUUUAUGAAUGUACAUGUGUUUCAAUGUCAGUUUUUAAAAUGAUGUUACAAGUGAAAAACCUGAUGUAUUUAAAAGUAUUGCAAUCACACUGAUAUUGCGGUAGCAUAUAGAAGUGGUCUAGGUGAAGACUUUUCUUUGCCGUGCCAUACAAACAUCACAAAAGGCAAUCCCCAGCCAAGAGCUCGGUUGCAGAGGGCAAAUAGAGAGCAAAGAACAAAAUAAUAGGGUAAGUGCCAUUGUACCCAGCCUUUGCAAUCAUAGUUCAGGAUCAGCAUUCACARUUCAACACCUGCUCAGCCUGUCUCAGAAGCAAAAGCCUUGAUUUGUUAAGGUCUUGAAGACACCUGAGGCCUCCAUAAAACAGUAAGGCUAAAUAAUUAGGAGCUUCAGCUCUGCAGUUAAGUGAACRCAACAGCAUUCAAAUGUCAUCACACAUGUCAACUCCUUUCUCUCCUCCAUACUAAAUAAUAAUCUACUAGCUGGGUUUGAGGAAAAUGACAAUGUAAUUUGAAAUUGUGUGCAGUGUGUGUAG
rnacentral:lncRNA from 1 species